rnacentral:rRNA from 1 species
CCUACGGGAGGCUGCAGUGGGGAAUAUUGGACAAUGGGGGCAACCCUGAUCCAGCCAUGCCGCGUGUGUGAAGAAGGCCCUCGGGUUGUAAAGCACUUUCAGUGAGGAAGAACGCCUGGUGGUUAAUACCCAUCAGGAAAGACAUCACUCACAGAAGAAGCACCGGCUAACUCCGUGCCAGCAGCCGCGGUAAUACGGAGGGUGCGAGCGUUAAUCGGAAUUACUGGGCGUAAAGCGCGCGUAGGUGGCUUGAUAAGCCGGUUGUGAAAGCCCCGGGCUCAACCUGGGAACGGCAUCCGGAACUGUCAAGCUAGAGUGCAGGAGAGGAAGGUAGAAUUCCCGGUGUAGCGGUGAAAUGCGUAGAGAUCGGGAGGAAUACCAGUUGCGAAGGCGGCCUUCUGGACUGACACUGACACUGAGGUGCGAAAGCGUGGGUAGCAAACAGGAUUAGAUACCCUUGUAGUC